rnacentral:lncRNA from 1 species
CGAGCUCACCGCGCGGCCCACCCAGCAUCCGGGGGCGCUGUGAGGGGCGCUCGCCCAGCAGCGGAAAGGCCGUUCGCGUGGCGCGGGAGCGCGGGCCCGGCCGCCUGGGCGUGUCCCUUUCGCAGAACUGAGCUCACGGGCUCCUGUCUUCCAGACGGAGCGACGGGGCCGGCCGCAGCCUCAGCCAUGCGUCCCUCGGCGGCGGGCAGGCUCCUCUUGGCCUGCAGCCUUACUUUCCUGCCCUUCUUCACAGUCUCCUGGGAGAUUAAGAUGAGUGCCCUAGAGGAGAAGGAUGUUGAUGAAUUCAGCUCCAGUGGUUUUAAGUGCCCAACAUGCUUUGCAGUGCAAGGAAGGAAAUGCGAUACAAAACUCAAAUGGUGUGCAGCAGAUAAAAUAAAGUGUAUUGAAUUCUCUGGCAUCAUAAACACAGGUGUUCGUGACGUAGCCAUUGAAAUGAGGAGAUGCAUGCAAGCAGACCUAUGCAAAGAGACGAUAACUUCUUAGAUGGGUUUUCCAAUUGCUAACAAGAGUAGAAAUUGCAAAUCAGCCAUCAGAAAUGGGGCCAGAAUCAGACCCCCAUCUCCCAUCUUCUUUGUUCUUUUCCUGGGGAGGGUACUUCAUGGAGCUCUGGCAAGAGCCUAGCUACUUCCAUUUAUGAAUUAAACCUGCAUUUUUUUGUUAAUGUA